rnacentral:rRNA from 1 species
AGGGCACCACCAGGAGUGGAGCCUGCGGCUUAAUUUGACUCAACACGGGGAAACUCACCAGGUCCAGACACAAUAAGGAUUGACAGAUUGAGAGCUCUUUCUUGAUUUUGUGGGUGGUGGUGCAUGGCCGUUCUUAGUUGGUGGAGUGAUUUGUCUGCUUAAUUGCGAUAACGAACGAGACCUUAACCUACUAAAUAGUGGUGCUAGCAUUUGCUGGUUCUUCCACUUCUUAGAGGGACUAUCGAUUUCAAGUCGAUGGAAGUUUGAGGCA